UACGGGGGGGGCAAGCGUUGUUCGGAAUUACUGGGCGUAAAGGGCGCGUAGGCGGCCUGCUAAGUCGAACGUGAAAUCCCCGGGCUCAACCCGGGAACUGCGUCCGAUACUGGCAGGCUUGAAUUCGGGAGAGGGAUGCGGAAUUCCAGGUGUAGCGGUGAAAUGCGUAGAUAUCUGGAGGAACACCGGUGGCGAAGGCGGCAUCCUGGACCGAAAUUGACGCUGAGGCGCGAAAGCCAGGGGAGCAAACAGG
rnacentral:rRNA from 1 species